CCUGCCAAAUGUAUAUUUUUUUAAAGUGUUUGACAGUCAUCUUUUGAAUAUGGUUCUGGGAACAUUUUUUGUUUAUCGGGUAUGAAAAUAUACCUGAUCUCACCAAUUUAAGUAAUUUAUAGGAAGUAAUAGAAAAGUCAGACUAAAAUGAACAAUCUGUUUUGUAUGGGGCAAUGAAGUGAAAUAAUGAAAUAGUCAAAUUGGAAUGCUUGGAAACAUUAAAUGCUUGUUGUGGUUGGUAGCUCAGAUGAAGGGGCUUUUGAGAAACAGAGGAUUGUAUCCCUGGCAGGCUAGAUGAAUAUGGGUUGGGGUAAGGGUGCAGGAGCUUGAGAAGGGGCACUUUGGGUAGAAUUAUGUGGAAAGAAUGACAUAAAAACCAAUAGAAUGAAAGUGUACCAGAAAGCACUCUAGAAUCUCUGUGGGUGGAAAUUCCAUUCUUAGAUAAUGAAGCUGUGGCAGUAGGAAUGUAUGUGAGGCAACCUGCCAGGGUAAUGAGAUGAAGAAACAAAUAAAAUGUAAAGGCUACAGAAUGAAGAAGCAAGCUGGCACCUCACAGCAUUGGCCCCCUGUAUUGUAACUGGUCAUGUGAUUGUCAGACUCCCCAGAGAGAGUGGCAGUUCCCUGAAAGCUGAGACGAGAUUUUGUUUAUCUUUGUGCUGACCCAGUACUGUCUGUGCCUGUAAACCCCCGUCACCUGAUGGAAUGGAUGUCUGCCCUAUAUCUCAGGGCUUUGUUAUAAACUCAAAUGAAAGGAUAUUUAUGAAAGAACAGUAUGAACUAAACUACAAACACAAGAACGCUGAAUCUCCCGGACUGGCCCUCUGGACUCGAAUAUCAGCACUUGGGGAUGAAUGAAGAAGGUGCAUCAUUUCCAGGGAAGCAGAUUUGCUGUUGACUAAUAAAGACCAUUUACUUGGAGUGGGGCCAACAAAA
rnacentral:lncRNA from 1 species